rnacentral:rRNA from 1 species
CGCGUAUGCAACUUACCUAUCAGAGGGGGAUAACCCGGCGAAAGUCGGACUAAUACCGCAUGAAGCAGGGGCCCCGCAUGGGGAUAUUUGCUAAAGAUUCAUCGCUGAUAGAUAGGCAUGCGUUCCAUUAGGCAGUUGGCGGGGUAACGGCCCACCAAACCGACGAUGGAUAGGGGUUCUGAGAGGAAGGUCCCCCACAUUGGUACUGAGACACGGACCAAACUCCUACGGGAGGCAGCAGUGAGGAAUAUUGGUCAAUGGGCGUAAGCCUGAACCAGCCAAGUCGCGUGAGGGAUGAAGGUUCUAUGGAUCGUAAACCUCUUUUAUAAGGGAAUAAAGUGCGGGACGUGUCCCGUUUUGUAUGUACCUUAUGAAUAAGGAUCGGCUAACUCCGUGCCAGCAGCCGCGGUAAUACGGAGGAUCCGAGCGUUAUCCGGAUUUAUUGGGUUUAAAGGGUGCGUAGGCGGCCUUUUAAGUCAGCGGUGAAAGUCUGUGGCUCAACCAUAGAAUUGCCGUUGAAACUGGGGGGCUUGAGUAUGUUUGAGGCAGGCGGAAUGCGUGGUGUAGCGGUGAAAUGCUUAGAUAUCACGCAGAACCCCGAUUGCGAAGGCAGCCUGCCAAGCCAUGACUGACGCUGAUGCACGAAAGCGUGGGGAUCAAACAGGAUUAGAUACC